UUGCACGCUGGCGGCAGGCCUAACCCAUGCCGGUCGAACGGUAACAGGAAGAAGCUUGCUUCUUUGCUGACGCGUGGCGGACGGGUGAGUAAUGUCUGGGAAACUGCCUGAUGGAGGGGGAUAACUACUGGAAACGGUAGCUAAUACCGCAUAACGUCGCAAGACCAAAGAGGGGGACCUUCGGGCCUCUUGCCAUCGGAUGUGCCCAGAUGGGAUUAGCUAGUAGGUGGGGUAACGGCUCACCUAGGCGACGAUCCCUAGCUGGUCUGAGAGGAUGACCAGCCACACUGGAACUGAGACACGGUCCAGACUCCUACGGGAGGCAGCAGUGGGGAAUAUUGCACAAUGGGCGCAAGCCUGAUGCAGCCAUGCCGCGUGUAUGAAGAAGGCCUUCGGGUUGUAAAGUACUUUCAGCGGGGAGGAAGGGAGUAAAGUUAAUACCUUUACUCAUUGACGUUACCCGCAGAAGAAGCACCGGCUAACUCCGUG
rnacentral:rRNA from 1 species